rnacentral:rRNA from 1 species
GGCUCAGGAUGAACGCAGCGACAGGCCUAACACAUGCAAGCGAGGGGCAGCACAGGAGCAAUCUGAGGUGGCGACCGGCGCACGGGUGAGUAACACGUAUGCAACCUGCCUGUAAGCGGGGAAUAACCCGUUGAAAGACGGACUAAUACCGCAUAAUACUAAAUUACUGCAUGGUAAUUUAUUUUAAACAUUUUAUGGCUUACAGAUGGGCAUGCGCAUGAUUAGCUAGUUGGAGAGGUAACGGCUCCCCAAGGCAACGAUCAUUAGGGGUUCUGAGAGGAAGGUCCCCCCACACUGGUACUGAGACACGGACCAGACUCCUACGGGAGGCAGCAGUGAGGAAUAUUGGUCAAUGGACGAGAGUCUGAACCAGCCAAGUCGCGUGCAGGAAGAAUGUCCUAUGGAUUGUAAACUGCUUUUUGCAGGGGAAUAAAGUGCAUCACGUGUGAUGUUUUGUAUGUACUCUGCGAAUAAGGAUCGGCUAACUCCGUGCCAGCCGCCGC